UCUGUUCCACUUAAGAAUGUUUACAAAAGAUUCUUCUUAACUUUAACACCUCGACUAUAAUAUCUUACUGUAAAAUAUAGCAGUAAAUAAUGUAAAAUGUAGCAACACUGUACAAAGUAUUAUGAUAAAGGAGAGAAAAGGCAUAUCGAAUAAAUUUCCUCCAUUACAAUAAAUUAUUCAUACUACUUUUUAUUUUUCUCGCAAUAUACCAAUGUAAAAAAGAUGAACAUUUUUUAAUCGUACAAACGGUCGUAGUCCGAUCAGGCGAAUGCUUCAGAGAGUUCGCAUGGUUUGUGCAGUUUCUUGCGAAAUUUCCAGGAUACUGUGAGGUCUUGAGCAUCCUCAUUCAAAUUCGAUAUUCCAAAUAUUCGCACGUGCUCAGUUCUCACGCCUACUACGUGUACCGUGUAACAGUUUAUCCUUCUCUCUAUCUGUUCUCCUGUCAGAAACGCGCGCGAACUCGCGAUUUAUUUCGGUCGCCACUUUAUCCAAACUUAUGUCACAAUCGCGCCUCGACGGAUCUUUCGGAUCAAAUCCAAGGUCUGGGAAGAAAUUAGAAUGAAGAUCUGGCUUGGUGGUGACGAUAUGCAUUUUCUACUAUAUUCCGACAUUCUAAUAGAAGACCAUUUAAUAUUUAGGGUAUAUUUUAGUUUUAAGACACGGGCACGUAAAAGAUUGAGUAUUACAAUUUUAAUUAGAAGACGUAGUUUCGGCUGUUUGAAUGAAAAGACACGUGUACACGAAACACGUGCAAUCACUUUGUACGUCUACGCUACAUACACACUACUAUUCUUGAGAUAAAGUAGCAAAGCAAAUAACAAAUAAAAUAAAAAUUUUAUUUGAAUUAUUGCUUGGAUAAAAACUUAUUUGGAUAAUGCCAAAUCUUGUAUCACAUAUCUACAAGUAUACGUGAAAUGUUUCCAAUUGGGGGGAGAUUUCCAAUUUCAAUUGACAACAUCCACGAGGUAGAACAUUUUUCAACUUUAUUGAAUUAUUUCCUUGUUUGUUUAUUACACGGUGGAAUUUCGAUUUCGUUGUUUGACUAGAUAGUUGGUUUUUCAUUUUAUAUUUUUAUUUUAUAUGUUACAUUUAUUACAAUUUAUUCAUUUCUAGUUUCAGUAGUAUAUUGUAUCGUAAGGAAAAGAAACCUGUCUACGGUGAUAAGUGAACAAGAGUAAUAAUAUUUCAUUUCGUAUCGUAGGACAUAAAUAUGGCAAUAAAUUUAACGAGAAUACUGCUGGUGUAUUCUUGGAAAAUUACGAAUGAAAAAAUAUUUAUAUUUUACGACUUCCUGAGUGACCCUGGUAAGAGAGAAAUGAUUAAGGCCAGAAAGCUCUCUGUGGCCAACAAGGUGAAAUGCGUAUUUCAAUUUGGCUUUAUCAUAAUUUAAAAAUAUUCAUGUUAAAUAAAAAGAAAGAACAAAAUAGAGAUAAUAAUGAUUUAAAGAUUAUCACGUACGCUUAUACAUUUAAAUGUGUAUUAUACUGGACAAAAUGUUUCUAUUUUCUUUAUUUACCAACAGAGUGUUAUAUUCUUCUUAAUAUCAUUUUAAUAUUAAAAAAUAUCUACUGUUAGUUACAGUGUUAUUUAAACUCGUCAUAUGAUCCACAUGUUUCGCAAGAUUUGUCAUGUCAAAACGAUGAAAAGAUAAUCAUGCGAAGCAAAUUGCAAUGAUAAUAGUUUAAAUGCUAUAUUUUUGUAUGAAAUGCAUAUUUACUGCGUCGAUUAGAAUUAUAAUUAACAUUACAAAUCUGCUUAUUUUCUAUUUUCAGUAUUGCAUCAUUCUGUAUAUUGUAUUCUCAUUGACAUGUUUAUAAUGACGUUAUAAAAAGUGAUAAAAUAUCCAUUCGUUAUUAAAAUUCGGUAUAUUGGCUACGAAAUGAUUAAAAAAAAAAAAAAGAAAAAACGGAAUAAAUAAAGCGAAAUAAAAACUAGCGAUGACGGCUUUUAAUGGUCCAUCGUUUGAACGAGAAUGGAUGGUGAAAUGGAAAUGAUCUGCGUUCUCAUUCAUCCACGACAGAUAUAUGUAUACGUAUAUCAAACGAUGUUAAAAAAGAUAGUCGAGAAAUGUUGGCUACUAUCCAUCAUGUUAUCAGAAAAUGUGGAAAUCCCUCGAUGAGAUAAUAAUGCUUUCACAUAUACAGCCACGUCAAUGGAAAAGUAGUUCUCUUGAUCUUAUUUUUCAUCAAGGAUCUGCAUGUUGAUUUGGCUAAUUUACGGUGAUUAAUUGCUAGGAAGAAAUUUUAACUGUUUCAAAGUGUACCAAGAUAUAAAUAUCGAAUUAAAUAAAUAAAUCUCCAAUAUUUAAUAAAACGUAUGCGACAUAGAAAAAAAGAACACCUGAAAGGAAAAUGAAAUCGCACGGAUUCGAAUGAAUAUUCAUGAUCAAUGAAAUACUAGUUUUUCCGCGCUGAAAAAACGGCAAAACGUUUAGAAAUUGCGGUAUACGUGUAUUUUGAGAAACGUUUGGUUGGCGGGUGGUGACGAUAAAUAAGAAAAGGUGCGCAUAAUUUUAUAAAAUAAUAUUUCAUUCGUUUGCAACAUCGCAACAAAACAUGCAGCGAUAAUUCGUGGCCACGAAUAUUUUUACGUCUUAUAAAAGAUUACCACAGGACAGAUUUUUGGCAUCGGUUUAAUUUCCUUGCUUUUUUACGAAUAAUUUCUGAGUAAUACGUAUGCGUACAUCUGUUCAACGCGAAGAUUAAAUUCUCGAAGCUCCUAAAAAUUCUAAAACUUCAGCCAAAAUGAAAUUUAUAAAAUGUGGCACAAUACUAAUUCAAAUAAUUUUUCGCAAAUUCUUCUAUUAUAUAUUUUCCUAUAAAGACAUAGUCCUACGUCUAUCUACAAUUCAUUAAAAAAAAAAAAAAAAAAAAAGGCAAAUACGUAGAUAUUGCAAAAUAUUUAUCUUCGGAUACGAGUCACUGUAUCAACAAUAUCGUUGUGGAAAUUUAAGACUGACGCAAUAAACACUACCUGGAGUGCUGCGUUGUUGCAACUUGUUUAGACGCAGCGUAAACAGUUUGUUUCUCUAUCGAUCAAUGGCUUGACACGCGCAUCGCAAAUCGGUUUUUUGAAUUUCAAGUCAUUCCUCGUUAUCGUGGACCAAUUGCAAGCUGUAGUUCUCAGUACUACGAACUUGCGUCAUUUCGUUUGCGUAAUUAGCAAAAAUUCUGCAACACGAUUCAUCCCAUUGACGCACAAUACGAUGAAAGAGGAAAACGAGUAACGAACGGUGUGAAAGACCAAACAGUUCCUGUUCCAAGGCUCAUGCUGUUUCUCAUCUACGAAACGACAUAAUAGUUGAAGCCACCGCGAAUAAUUAUUCCAUCUACAUACCGUUAUUAAAGAAGAAAGGAAACAUCGUAAUCCAUAUCACAGCUACCACAAAGAAACUCAAUUUAUCUGUCAUAAAAUUUUAUCUCCAGCUACAAAAAAUCUACUAUCUCAAUUAGGAUAUUACACGUAGGAACGAUUUAGAACGAGCCGAAGACUGAUAAUGGAAUGGUUGCGAUCUCGCAUUUAACAAACCAGUAGAGGUAGUAAAAAAAAAAACAUGGGCACGUUCUCCGACUUUGGGUCUUGUGUAUCUCUACAAACGCGCUUGAUACGCUUCUACAAUGAAAAUCCGCUCGAGGAGAUUACAACACAGCUUGCUCAACCAGCCUUGAGGAAAUAAUUACCAAGGAAGAGGAAGUAUUUCGUUGUUUCGUUGCAAAAGUGUAAUAUUAGACUGUAACGUAUAAAAUGACCUAACAAUUCCAAAAUUCUACAUUUCUAUUCAAAUUGUCCUUCGUUGUGGAUCUCCUAUAAAAAUGAACGUUUACACAAACAUCCACUCUACCAACGAUAAUCCUCAUCCUCUUCAUUCAUGCGCAAAUAAGCGAGCCUCUCACAGACCAAACAGGUCAACUCCACUUUUUAAACAAUUUCUCAAUUUCUCAAUUUAAGCAACUGAUUAAUAUUCGAUUCUCGGGAAGCAAAUUGUCUACUACCACGAGUAUUUACCUACAUUCAUUUGUUACAAGAAGAUGACAAGAAUAACGAUACUGAGUGCCAAGAUUUUCAAAAAUAGUGUUUCAAAUAUCAUCGCCUUUCGAUGCUUUUCGAUUUAAUGUGGCUAACGUCGAAACCACGUGGAUGCAACAACUUGUAGUCAACGAUAUCCUCGAGUCGAUAAUAUCUCCUUCGACUUGGAACGUGGCUAAAGAGCAAGGGUCACAUUGGAAAAGGAAAAGGACAGAGACGGAAAUUACAUACUCUUUCAAUAUGAAACCAACGUGUGAUGUGUAAACCUGCAUAAAGAAGCUUUCUCUUUAAUCUAUAAACGGGUGCAUAUCGGCCAACAUGAUGAAUUGAAGAGAAAUUGUGUAGGUUGAAUAUUCGCAAGUAGGUCGAGAAGUUCAUUAGAAUUCUAUAAAGUACCAUUACAUUUUUUUCAUGAGAGAGAACAGUAAUUUUCUACUUAUUUUAAUAUGAUCUUCUGACAGUAUACCGAACGAUUCUAUAGAUAAUACUUUUUUAAUUUACUUUAAUUUAAUUUAACUUAUUUGUCAGGAGAAGCACGAAUCUUUUUGGGUCAUUAGCGAGACUACUGUAUUGCAUUACAUAGUUCAAUUAUUGAUGGAAAGAAAUUUUCUUGUGUUUCUAUUUUCCUUGAUUUUCAUAUAAUAGCUUUUAUCAGCUUUAAUCUAAUACUUUUUAACCGAAGAAAUUAUCUUAAAAUCAUAAAUUGCAAGAUCUGUUAUUCUAAAUAAACUAAUUCUAUCUUGACCCAUUUUUUUUUACUACAAAAUUCUCCUCCUUUCAAUGUAAUUUGCGUUAAAGUACACAAAUUUGAACAUUAAUAAAAAAGGCAUAAUAAUUAUAAAUUUAAUUAAAUUCUAAAUAGGGAAAUGUGUACCUACGAAAAAUAAUCUUACAAAUAUCGUUAUUAGAAUGAAUAGGAUUUGAUGAUUUGGCCAAACGUAAAAUUAUUAAAUUCGAACAAAAAUGUUCAAUUCUCCAUCGAUCUUUUUCUCAUAAAAUUCCUUCUCAAUCUUCGUAUAUCCCAUUUUUUAACUAAAAAGAGCGAAAGAAUUUUAUCACCAAGUAAAGUUGAAUUUUUUAAAUAUACAUAGCAGGGGGUUCGAUUAAAGGAAAAUAUUUUUCUAAGAAUUCGGUUUCCGUCGAAUUCCGUUGUUCGCUACACUGUUAUUACAUCAGCUUAAAACAUUAAAAGUCCUAUCUCCGUCGUCGUUUCAACGAUUUGUACUCGCGUUUGGUUUGCACAAAUAGCAAACACGACUGUGAAAAUUUUACAGGAGCCGUCGCCACAGUUCUCGUCGACGACGCUAUCAAUGUUUACGUUUUACUUUAAUUAUACAGCGCACACGCGGUUUUAUUAAUAAAGUAAAGGCUGCCAAGAAGGUUGCAUCGUAUCACGUAUACAGGGUAGGCAAUGAAUGAACUAUUUUUUGACUUUGUUUUACCGGAUAUUCAUUCGAAACAUUGUGGCAAUUUUGUAAAAUAAUUUAUUAACUGAUUACUAGGCUGCGAAUGUUCUCAUG